rnacentral:rRNA from 1 species
UACGUAGGGGGCAAGCGUUGUCCGGAAUCAUUGGGCGUAAAGCGCGUGUAGGCGGCUUGGUAAGUCUGGCGUGAAAUCUUGGGGCUCAACCCCAAGCCUGCGUUGGAUACUGCCUCGCUCGAGUCCGGGAGAGGAAAGCGGAAUUCCCAGUGUAGCGGUGAAAUGCGCAGAUAUUGGGAAGAACACCGAUGGCGAAGGCAGCUUUCUGGAACGGUACUGACGCUGAGACGCGAAAGCGUGGGGAGCAAACAGGAUUAGAUACCCUGGUAGUCCACGCCGUAAACGAUGGGCACUAGUUGUGGGCGGUGUCGACUCCGUCCGUGACGAAGCUAACGCAUUAAGUGCCCCGCCUGGGGAGUACGGCCGCAAGGCUAAA